AUUGAACGCUGGCGGCAUGCUUUACACAUGCAAGUCGAACGGUAACAGGCCGCAAGGUGCUGACGAGUGGCGAACGGGUGAGUAAUGCAUCGGAACGUGCCCAGUCGUGGGGGAUAACUACUCGAAAGAGUAGCUAAUACCGCAUACGAUCUAUGGAUGAAAGCGGGGGACCGUAAGGCCUCGCGCGAUUGGAGCGGCCGAUGUCAGAUUAGGUAGUUGGUGGGGUAAAGGCUCACCAAGCCAACGAUCUGUAGCUGGUCUGAGAGGACGACCAGCCACACUGGGACUGAGACACGGCCCAGACUCCUAAGGGAGGCAGCAGUGGGGAAUUUUGGACAAUGGGCGCAAGCCUGAUCCAGCAAUGCCGCGUGCAGGAAGAAGGCCUUCGGGUUGUAAACUGCUUUUGUACGGAACGAAACGGCUCUGGUUAAUACCCGGGGCUAAUGACGGUACCGUAAGAAUAAGCACCGGCUAACUACGUG
rnacentral:rRNA from 1 species